rnacentral:lncRNA from 1 species
AUAAUUAAGGUAAGUGUAACGUACAUUUGCAUUUUGCAACAGAAACAGCUUCUUAUAGAGUAUUGUUUUACAGGCUAAUCUUUUUUUAUGUAAUGUAUUCAAGUGUAAUUAUAAUUAGGAUUGGGAUAAUACAAAAAUAUACUUUUUGCUUAGUGAUUUCUAUUACAUUGUGACAGAAUUUGGUUUCUCAAUAAUUCUCAUCCUGAGUGCCAAACUGAUCAACUGCAUCCUAAUGGAACGUCAAAGAUGUGAUUCAGUAACUGAUACGGUUGUUGCAAUAAUUAUUUUUGACCAAAUUGAAUCCAAAAAUAAUUGAAGAAAUGGUUUCAGAUGAUUACGAAUAAGCGCAGCUAUAUCUGGAGAGGUAAUGCACCUACUGAUAUCCCGUGAUAAGAACUUGGGAGAGAUUUAGUGAAAACCUGGAGAACGGCCACUUAGCUCACAAAUCUGAGCUGUUCACAUCAAGCUGAUAUUUGUGACAGCCAUUAUAGCUUUAAUCAUGUAAGUAAACACUUGAUCAUACUAUAAUUUUCAAUUAUUUGUAACAAUUAACUGCGCCCGGUUCUACUCAGAAUAACAAAGGCACAGGUUUCUUUCUUUAAACUAGAACAGU